rnacentral:lncRNA from 1 species
UCCCAAACAUCACCAUCAAUAAAGUUGAGGGGCAGCCAGGGAAGGUCCCUGUUUAUUUAUUGAAUUUCAGAUUUUUCCCUGUAGUAUUCCCUAGGCUGACUGUCUUAUUGGAUAGCCCUCCCCAUGACACAUCCCUAAUGGUCUCUUCUGCUUCUUCUUUUUCAGCAACAACAGCAGCAGCAGCAGCAACAGCAGCAACAGCAACAACAACAACAACAGCAGCAGCAACAGCAGCAACAGGCACCACCACAGCAACAGCCACAGGUGUCCACAGUCCCUCAGCCACAAGCCCAGGGCCAGCCGCCUGGCCUGGGGAUGCAGGCUCUUCCUCCUCAACAGCCCAUUGUAAGUGUGUCACAGAGCUAGAGGGGAAGAGUCAUUCACCCAUAGAUCCUCCUACCUGCUCCCUGCAGCACUCUCCUUCUCCACCCCACUAGCUGCUGCCUAACACGGGGAGCGUUUGCUGAAUCCCCACAAGCCUAGUGGCACUUGUUAAUCAUGUUUCUCUCUCUCUCUAGUUCCAGCGCCAGGGUCUCCAGCAGACACAGCAGCAGCAGCAAACAGCUGCCCUGGUCCGACAGCUUCAGCAGCAGCUCUCUAAUACACAGCCACAGCAGAACAACAAUCCAUUUGGACGCUACUGAGCCAUGGCACUUGGGCCCGAUCCAGAGGGAGACAUCACUGUGGACUGGAUACAGCCUCCCCCAGUGGGGGCUGUUCCCAACCCUCUGUCCCUGGGGCACCUGCCCAGGCGCCGUGUUCUGCAGCUGCCCUUCUUGGAGGGGAGGGAGUAAUUUUUAUCAUACAGAGAAAAUGUUUUUACUCCGGUUUCUACAAAGGUUUAUGGAGAUCCCGUGUGAUUGGUAGUCUCCCCUCCCCCUUUGGUUUCAGUUUUUACUAAGUUUUUAGUAUUUUUGUUAAAAUAAUGAUUAAGACAUUGUAAGAUUUUGUACUUUAUUUAUACCAGAUGAAACCCUGUAUUGCAGACGUCCUCAAACAAAUACAGAGAGCUUACUUUGCGAAAGGGGUGUGUGUGUGUGUGUGUGCGCGCGUGCACAUGUGCAUGUUCAGAGUCUGAGCCCCAUGACCCUAGCAUGCUCCCUCUCCCGAUUCCCCUGCAUUCCCACAGAUCUUGCCCUGAACUAUACAGGGCCCAGUGAGCUAUACACACCAAAUCUCAAGAACUAUUGUCUGAACCUUUCCUGCUCCUAAAUAAGUACAUUGUUCAGCCUCACCAGGUUGCUCAUCUCUUGCCUGUUUUGCCCAAGUUGUUCUCUCCCCGUGUUCACUAGUUGGGAGGAGGGUUUGGAUAGUGAUUCAGAGCUUCCCUUUAAACAGCAGUGCCUUGUUACCGAUCCACAGAGAACAAAUGGUCCCUGCACACUUCCACUGGUGGGAUCAAGAUGCCUGCACAUCCAGGGUCCCGAACCUGCUAGGGUUUGUCCUGGUGAGGAUAAAAGGUGUCUAGGAAGGAGCUGAGGUGUGGCAGCUAACACAUUCUAGACCUCAUGUAGACUUUCAAGAUAGAUUCUAAGGCCAGAAGGAACUGUGGUCAGAUGUUUGGCUGUGUGUGUGUGUUCUUCCUGUGUGCUGCCUCAGCUCUGCGCAGACAGAUAGCACAGCAGACGUUGAGCGAACCACCCAAUGACCACAAGACCUGUUAAGGUACAAAGGCACCAGGCCAGGUUUAUUGUCGACAAAGUACAGUAUUAGCACCUGGCAGACUACCAGGAUACUAAGACACGUAUGCCCGUGACAAUGGACGCGGUUCAGUGAAUGGUGGGACUUUUCAUUCCCCCCUCAGCUGACAAAGAUACUCUCUCUGAGAUGCAUCUUUAUACCCUGAUACAAACAAGUUACGUACUGC